rnacentral:rRNA from 1 species
GUAAUCUGCCUUCUACAGAGGGAUAGCCCAGAGAAAUUUGGAUUAAUACCUCAUAGUAUUACCGAAUCGCAUGAUUCGGUAAUUAAAGCUCCGGCGGUACAAGAUGAACAUGCGUGACAUUAGCUAGUUGGUAAGGUAAUGGCUUACCAAGGCCACGAUGUCUAGGGGUUCUGAGAGGAUGAUCCCCCACACUGGUACUGAGACACGGACCAGACUCCUACGGGAGGCAGCAGUGAGGAAUAUUGGUCAAUGGACGCAAGUCUGAACCAGCCCAUCCCGCGUGAAGGAUGGCUGCCCUAUGGGUUGUAAACUUCUUUUAUAUGCAAAUAAACCUACUUUCGUGAAAGUAGCUGAAGGUACCAUAUGAAUAAA